rnacentral:rRNA from 1 species
UACGUAUGGGGCAAGCGUUGUCCGGAUUUAUUGGGCGUAAAGAGCGUGUAGGCGGCCUGGAAGGUCAGCUGUGAAAACUCGAGGCUCAACCUCGAGACGUCGGUUGAAACCACCUGGCUAGAGUCCGGAAGAGGAGAGUGGAAUUCCCGGUGUAGCGGUGAAAUGCGCAGAUAUCGGGAAGAACACCCGUGGCGAAGGCGGCUCUCUGGGACGGUACUGACGCUGAGACGCGAAAGCGUGGGGAGCGAACAGG